rnacentral:rRNA from 1 species
GAUGAACGCUGGCGGCGUGCCUAAUACAUGCAAGUCGAGCGAACAGACGAGGAGCUUGCUCCUCUGACGUUAGCGGCGGACGGGUGAGUAACACGUGGAUAACCUACCUAUAAGACUGGGAUAACUUCGGGAAACCGGAGCUAAUACCGGAUAAUAUAUUGAACCGCAUGGUUCAAUAGUGAAAGACGGUUUUGCUGUCACUUAUAGAUGGAUCCGCGCCGCAUUAGCUAGUUGGUAAGGUAACGGCUUACCAAGGCAACGAUGCGUAGCCGACCUGAGAGGGUGAUCAGCCACACUGGAACUGAGACACGGUCCAGACUCCUACGGGAGGAAGCAGUAGGGAAUCUUCCGAACUGAGAGAAAGCUUGACGGAGCAAAGCCGCGAGAGUGAUGAAGGUCUUCGGAUCGUAAAACUCUAUUAUUAGGGAAGAACAAAUGUGUAAGUAACUAUGCACGUCUUGACGGUACCUAAUCAGAAAGCCACGGCUAACUACGUG